AGGUUCGAACGGGCCGGAGGAAGCCAGUGUCCUGCCUUCCCGGAGCUUACGACUCACCAAGCCCACCCAAAGCCGGCCGUGACCCAAGCCGCCGUUGUCAAAGGAGCCCGUGAGGCCUGGGGAGGGAAGGAAGCCUGGAGUUCCCUCGCCAAAGAAGGCGGCUCUGCCCCGAGAACGGCGCGGGUCCCUCCUGGCUGCCUAUGGAGAAAGCCAGGCGGGACCCGUGCGUGCUGGGGCCUUCCUUCGGAGAGCGCCUUGCACGUGGUCAGAGUGCGCGGUGCAUGUGCAGAGUGGGCCCUCAGAGCGCGCGUUCUCUGGCGCUGCCUUCUAGUAUCUCCUCCCUGUCCCAAUGCUCCCCAGUCCCAAGCUCCCCCUCACUUCCCGAGCCCCUGGAGAGACUUGUGCAGCUCCUCUGCCGGCUGGGACUCCGUUGCUGCCCUUCUCCCCGUCCUCUUUGCCUCUCUAGGUUUUUGUGACCUUCCCCCCUCCGAUUCUCCUCCUGCCUGUCCGUGACCCGGCGUCCUGUCCGUCGCCCCGAGGGCUCCUGUCCGGGUCUGUGGGACCGCUCUCCCAGCCGUGCAGUGUUGGACAGGUUCCACCUUGGGCUCUCUUCUCCCAGCCUUUCUUAAGUGCCCGGCGCUCACUGAAGCCAGCUGGGUAUCUCGCCUCUCGUUGCACACAUCCCAUCACUUGCCAAGUCUGAAUGACUUUAUGCACGCGUCUCACGGCGACCCCCCAGUUCAGACCUAGUGAGCUUGAAGAGAUGGCUCUCUCAUCACAAGUCUAUUGGAAGUGCCUUGAGUCAACUCAUUGUUGAAACCCGCCAAGUCAGUUACAGUUGAUCAGCAAACAAUCUUGCUGUUGGCUGUGCACAAUGCUCUCUUGGUUCUGCUCACUUCACUCAGCGUUGGUUCAUGUAAGUCUUUCCAGGCUUUUCUGAAAUCAGCCUGCUCAUCAUUUCGUCUAGAACAAUAAUAUUUCAGUACAUUCAUAUAUCAUAGCUCAUUCAGCCAUUCCCCAACUCAUGGACAUCCACUUAAUUUUCAAUUCCCAAGAGAACAUUAUUAUCGGGUGGGGUGGGUUGGGGAGGAAAGGAAGGGGACUGAUCUAUAUGAAACUGAAAAAUAAAUACUUAGUAAGAUAUUUUAAACAUCUAGAAAACAGGAGAAUUCAGAAAGGGACACAAGCAAGUGCAGCUACCACCCUAAAUUUUAACAUACAGUUUUUAAAAAUUGCAGGCAAUAAAGAUUUCACAGCUUCGUUAUGGGAAUUUUUGAUUUCCUUUUAUUCCUCUUGCAUUUUUUUUGGUUAAUAUUUAUCUCAUCUAAGCAAAACCAGUCCCAAGGGAUAUAAAAAUUUACUUACAGCCUUAAACUAUCCUUAGAUAAGAAGCCAGAGGAAGAAUCGCAACUGUUCCUGAGUCCUUGGAGACAUGUAAAACAUCCUUAUGAAACUUCUAAUUUAAGCUAUAAACUGACUCAGUUUCUCUA